rnacentral:piRNA from 1 species
CCAGAGACCUGAACAGAAAGAAA